AAGCUCGGGCCACACCAGUCGCAGCCGUACUGAGCCAGGCCAGUAAGACGAGUGCAUUCAAUGAAUGCUCUCUUCAACCUAACUUCGUCCUGAGCCAUUGCCGAUAAGGACGGUGAUCCGCGAUCCGGGUCGGUAUCGGCAUGAAUGAGCCUGUCCGCACGUCAGAAGGGUGUCCCAUCCUACUGCAAUGUAGGGAGUAGAUGUGGAAAAACCUUAUUUGUCGUACUCCCUGGUGUCUGUGGUGAGUGGUGUGUCCACCAUGCUGUCAUCGUUUAUGCACUUGUACUUGUAGUUGUAUCAGUAGUGCAGUGUACCACUACUAGUGACAGUACUGUAAACGUCAUGAUUGUACUGAGAAGUGAGAGCUAGCUGUUAC